UACGGGGGGGGCAAGCGUUGUUCGGAAUUACUGGGCGUAAAGGGCGCGUAGGCGGCCUUCUAAGUCGGACGUGAAAUCCCUCGGCUUAACCGAGGAACUGCGUCCGAGACUGAAAGGCUUGAAUCCGGGAGAGGGAUGUGGAAUUCCAGGUGUAGCGGUGAAAUGCGUAGAUAUCUGGAGGAACACCGGUGGCGAAGGCGGCAUCCUGGACCGGUAUUGACGCUGAGGCGCGAAAGCUAGGGGAGCAAACGGG
rnacentral:rRNA from 1 species